UACGUAGGUCCCGAGCGUUGUCCGGAAUUACUGGGUGUAAAGGGUGCGCAGGCGGUCUUGUGCGUCAGAGGUGAAAUAUCACGGCUCAACCGUGAGGGUGCCUUUGAUACGGCAAGACUUGAGUACGAGAGAGGGUGAUGGAAUUCCUGGUGUAGCGGUGAAAUGCGUAGAUAUCAGGAGGAACACCGGUGGCGAAGGCGGAUCUCUGGGCCUUACCUGACGCUCAGGAGCGAAAGCGUGGGGAGCGAUCCGG
rnacentral:rRNA from 1 species